AUUGAACGCUGGCGGCAGGCCUAACACAUGCAAGUCGAACGAGUGGCGGACGGGUGAGUAAUGUAUGGGAAACUGCCUGAUGGAGGGGGAUAACUACUGGAAACGGUGGCUAAUACCGCAUACCAUCAGAUGUGCCCAGAUGGGAUUAGCUAGUGGGUGGGGUAAUGGCUCACCAAGGCGACGAUCCCUAGCUGGUCUGAGAGGAUGACCAGCCACACUGGGACGUAGACACGGUCCAGACUCCUACGGGAGGCAGCAGUGUGGAAUAUUGCACAAUGGGCGCAAGCCUGAUGCAGCCAUGCCGCGUGUAUGAAGAAGGCCUUCGGGUUGUAGAGUACUUUCAGCGGGGAGGCGUUACCCGCAGAAGAAGCACCGGCUAACUCCGUGCCAGCAGCCGCGGUAAUUC
rnacentral:rRNA from 1 species